rnacentral:rRNA from 1 species
UAGCAUAUCAAUAAGCGGAGGAAAAGAAACCAACAGGGAUUGCCCCAGUAACGGCGAGUGAAGCGGCAACAGCUCAAAUUUGAAAUCUGGCCCCUCGGGGUCCGAGUUGUAAUUUGUAGAGGAUGCUUUUGGUGAGGUGCCGCCCGAGUUCCCUGGAACGGGACGCCACAGAGGGUGAGAGCCCCGUCUGGCUGGCCACCGAGCCUCUGUAAAGCUCCUUCGACGAGUCGAGUAGUUUGGGAAUGCUGCUCAAAAUGGGAGGUAUAUGUCUUCUAAAGCUAAAUAUUGGCCAGAGACCGAUAGCGCACAAGUAGAGUGAUCGAAAGAUGAAAAGCACCUUGAAAAGAGGGUUAAAUAGUACGUGAAAUUGUUGAAAGGGAAGCGCUUGUGACCAGACUUGGGCGCGGCGGAUCAUCCGGGGUUCUCUCCGGUGCACUUCGCCGCGUCUAGGCCAGCAUCAGUUCGUCGCGGGGGAAAAAGGCUUCGGGAACGUGGCUCCUCCGGGAGUGUUAUAGCCCGUUGCAUAAUACCCUGCGGUGGACUGAGGACCGCGCAUCUGCAAGGAUGCUGGCGUAAUGGUCACCAGCGACCCGUCUUGAAACACGGACCAAGGAGUCGUCUUCGUAUGCGAGUGUUCGGGUGUCAAACCCCUACGCGUAAUGAAAGUGAACGCAGGUGAGAGCUUCGGCGCAUCAUCGACCGAUCCUGAUGUUCUCGGAUGGAUUUGAGUAAGAGCAUACGGGGCCGGACCCGAAAGAAGGUGAACUAUGCCUGUAUAGGGUGAAGCCAGAGGAAACUCUGGUGGAGGCUCGCAGCGGUUCUGACGUGCAAAUCGAUCGUCAAAUAUGGGCAUGGGGGCGAAAGACUAAUCGAACCUUCUAGUAGCUGGUUUCCCC